rnacentral:lncRNA from 1 species
CUAGGCCUUGUCCAGUGGGAAGACUGGAAUGGCUCAGACAGCGACAGGGCCAUUCCAGGAUGUGACAAGGUGCCAGGUGAGCUGGGAGGAGGUAUCAUCCCAGUGAGCAGGUGAGGGGGGCUGUGCAGGCAAGGUGGCUCUUCCCUCCUGGUAGCCCAGCUUUGCCUUUCUCCCACCUCCACAGAGCACCCAUCUCCCCUCCACUACACAGGGACAGAUUCCACCUGGCUCCUGUGAAUGAGGGGACAUCCAACCCUGGUGAAGGGGGCUGUGACUAUCAGCUGUCCAAUAGGAUAGAUCAGGAUUUACAAAGCACUUUCCUGCUUGUCUCUAGAUUGAGAGAUGUCCUAACAAGAAAAAGCAAGAGCUCUGGCCAAGAUGAUAUCCAAGCGCUGAGCAGAGCGUGGCAGAAACAGGACACAGUCACACGGCUGCCUACCCCACCUCACACCUGGAGUUGCCUCAGCAGGUUGGGACCAACGCUUCCACCCAGGAGGAGAGCUGUCUACAGCGCCCUCUGCUGGGCCCCAGGAGACCACCCCUGGCAGACAGUCCUGUGAUGAAGGCAUCAUUAUACCAAUUUGAAUAUAAGAAACUGAAGCUAAGGAAGAUGAAUGACAAUACAUGACAACCU